rnacentral:rRNA from 1 species
GACGAACGCUGGCGGCGUGCCUAAUACAUGCAAGUAGAACGCUGAAGGAGGAGCUUGCUUCUCCGGAUGAGUUGCGAACGGGUGAGUAACGCGUAGGUAACCUGCCUGGUAGCGGGGGAUAACUAUUGGAAACGAUAGCUAAUACCGCAUAAGAGUAGAUGUCGCAUGACAUUUGCUUAAAAGGUGCAACUGCACCACUACCAGAUGGACCUGCGUUGUAUUAGCUAGUUGGUGAGGUAACGGCUCACCAAGGCAACGAUACAUAGCCGACCUGAGAGGGUGAUCGGCCACACUGGGACUGAGACACGGCCCAGACUCCUACGGGAGGCAGCAGUAGGGAAUCUUCGGCAAUGGACGGAAGUCUGACCGAGCAACGCCGCGGGAGUGAAGAAGGUUUUCGGAUCGUAAAGAUCUGUUGUAAGAGAAGAACGAGUGUGAGAGUGGAAAGUUCACACUGUGACGGUAUCUUACCAGAAAGGGACGGCUAGCUACGUG